GACGAACGCUGGCGGCGUGCUUAACACAUGCAAGUCGAACGGAAAGGCCCUGCUUUUGCGGGGUGCUCGAGUGGCGAACGGGUGAGUAACACGUGAGUAACCUGCCCUUGACUUUGGGAUAACUUCAGGAAACUGGGGCUAAUACCGGAUAGGAGCUCCUGCUGCAUGGGGGGGGUUGGAAAGUUUCGGCGGUUGUGGAUGGACUCGCGGCUUAUCAGCUUGUUGGUGGGGUAGUGGCUUACCAAGGCUUUGACGGGUAGCCGGCCUGAGAGGGUGACCGGCCACAUUGCGCCUGCGGUACGCCCCAGACUCGUACGGGACGCAGCGGUGGGGAAUAUUGCACAAUGGGCGGACGCCUGAUGCAGCAACGCCGCGUGCGGGAUGCCGGCCUUCGGGUUGUAAACCGCUUUCGCCUGUGACGAAGCGUGAGUGACGGUAAUGGGUAAAGAAGCACCGGCUAACUACGUG
rnacentral:rRNA from 1 species